UCCUCAGGAAACUUAAGAGGUGAUCAAAGG
rnacentral:piRNA from 2 species